UGGAGGUGGGAGCCUGGGUCUGCACUUUACUUGGAAGGAAAUUAAAAGCUCAGAGGAGAGAUGGUUUGCCUCAGGUCGCACAUCUCAGGAAGUCUGGAGGAGGGAGUCCCCUGUGCAGUGGUGUCCCCCAGCCCCACCCAUGACCCCCAGCCUUUGUCGCGUCCAGUGAAAAGCCGCCCCUAAGCAGCGCUCAAGGUGACCCAUCCUGAUCAUGCGACCCCUAACCCCAUAAAGGCAGUUGAGGGACCGCCCCCAGCUGGCCGCUGUUGAAACACAACCAUUUGGCUGCUUGGAUGCUGGCUGUCCAGCGCGGGAGCAAACAUAGGUAAUUACACCUUGGGCAAGCGUCCGGUGGAAGCACACUGGAGCGGGUGAACGUCCCAGAGGCCACCCCAGGAUGGGACAUGCAAGCCGUGACUGGAAGCCAAGGCAGCGCCCUGGUGCAGAAGGGACCACCCUGGGCAGGACAGGUCUUGUCCCUCCACCAGGAGGUCAGGGUGCUGGAGUCACUAAGGGGGAGCCGGGAGAGGUGUGACAGGGCACUCUGUCUGGGGUCCACCCUCACGGCAGGUGUUUACUGAGAACCUGUGCCGGGCACUGGGGACUUAACUCUGAGAAAGGAAACAAAGACCCUUGCCGAGGGAGCCAAGGAGCCCUGAGAGCCUUUGAAGGUGUCCUGUCGCCCUGGUGGCUGCCUGGCCCUCUGCCCUUCUCCCGCACCACGGUUGUGGGCGCCUUGGGCAGGUGCACGCCGCGUUCCUUCCUGACCGCCAGCCCCUCGCACCGCGUGAGCAGUGCGCGCUGAGCACGCCGUGUCCCGUGGGUCACUGAACGCCCUGGCGGGAUUCCGGAGAGCCACAAAGGACGUGACGCUCCAGAGACGGGACGGAUGCUGACGUGGCAGACUAACAGCAACGAUGUCGUCAUCUGUUCCAGCGGCCACUGGACACCAGUGCAGGCAGCACAGAUGGACAGAGCAUCGGAGCCAAGGACCCCGCCCCGCCAUGGCCAACCGACACGGACACCAGGGCCUUGCUGUUCCUCAGGGACACGUGAGGGAAAAUAAUGACCUAAGGAAAGAGCACAAGACAACGGCACCAUCGAGGUCCCUCUGGGGUUAAACAGAGAAACGCAGUCUCCCCGGGGAAGACGCACAAAGGGGAACCAGGAGCGAGCGGCGCCCGGCCUCACCUGACCUGGCCGGCGCGUAGAGGCCCCCGGCCCCGGAGGCUCCACACCCGAACACCCGCCGUGCCCCGCUCCUCAGACCCCCCCUACCCCGGCACCGCGGGUGCUGUGGCUGUUCCGGGGCGGUGGCUCCAGCUGCUGUGUGCCCGCCUGCUCCCGCUCCAGCUGUGGCUGGUGGGGGGCUCCCAGUCCAGCUGCUGUGUCCCCGUGCGCUGCCAGUGUGAGAUCUGAGCCUCCGACCGCAGGUCUUGGGGGCCACUCUCCCCAGGAAGUGACCUCUCAGCUCCGAACUGACUGGAGCGGCGUCCCCCGAGUCCUGAGGGAGGGAGUGGCCCUGUCACUGUCCUUGGCCUGUCCCGGGACCCCUCUGUGGUCACGCACCAUGAGGACUCUCCUUUCCCACCCCUGCCCGGCUGCCAGCAGCUCCCAAAGCCCAAAACCUCCUGCCACAAGCCCCCGCCGGGUCCAGCCCAGGCGGGACCCUCGCUCUUGCCCCUUCCCCUCCAGACUCGCCGCCUGAGCCGGCCUUGCAGCCGGGUCGGCCCUGGGGGGGACAGAGCCACAGCUGAGGCUCUUAAUGUCCAGCUGGACCGCUGGACCUUCAGUCCCUUUGAGUGAACGUUCCCCCGCCACAGCCGCCUUGCUCUCGCUGGCUCUUUUAAGGUCUUCAUCAUUCAGUGCAGGAGCCCCAGUAGGUUUCGGGCUGUCUGCUCUGCCAGGGACACAGCAGUGAGGAUGACAGAGGCCCUCACCUGAGGGCUGCGUCUGGGUGGGGACGGCUCCCCGGCCCACAGCACCCUUGAGGUUGGCCCUGUGGCGUCUGCAUUUCUGGGCGCAGAGCCCCAGACACAGAGCGGCGCACACCUGGACAGGCGGCACAGGUGGAAUUCCAGCCCCUUAUCUGCCUGCAGGUCCUGCUCGUGACCACAAUGGAACACCCAGCCAGCGCAGAGAGCUUCAGUGUGGAAAGACGCCGGGAGGGCAGAGGACAAGCAGGGGCUCCUCCGCUCAGGGGCGACAGGCUCACACAGACACGCUGUGACACCUCGCUCUUGCACGGCCGGGGAGGCGGCUGCACUGGGCGCCUGCCUGGGGCUCGUGUCCUUCCUGGGCCCACGGGGCACACAGGCUCAGAGAGGGUACAGUCUGGGCUUGGCCGGCAGGCACAGGAUGUGGGGUGUAUGUGUCAGUUUCCUUCCAGGCCCCCACAGCCCCAGGUCUGGGGAAGUUCAGGUCCCUAGUGGGCACUGGACCUGGGCCUGGAGGUCCCCGUGCCUCCUCUGGGCUGGCUGCAGGCCCCCCUCCCACCCUUCAUACUCACAGGGUGUCCAAGGCAUCGUGAGUGCCACAUCACAGGAGAGGCUGUGUCCCCAGGGCCAUGGGGCCCCUCGACCACUCACCAGGACAGAUGCCUGUGGCUCGCAGGAGGCCCCGGGCUGUGACUCCAAAGCCCCUGCCCUGUCUGAGCGUCCCCAUGUGAGGUGGCACCAGAGGGCUCAGAGUGCUGCGAGCCCAUCUCCCCAGCCCCACCUUCCCACCCUGGACCGCCCUCCCCUCAGGAGCCCCAAUUAAGGCCUGUGUCAGCCCAGACCUCUUCGCUUCAUGACUUCUCUCUCUGACCCAGGGCCAGCAUAGGGCAGGCAGGACCUCGGCUGGACGGUGGCACCGUCUCCCCAGGCCUUCCUGACAGGCCCCUGAACCCCAGGUGUCAGCAGCCGGACCCCCUGGGGACCAGCCUUGGGCACCGGAAGGGCCUCACAUCUCUCUGCCUCUGCCCUUGGCCAGGAAUGCUCCCUGCCGGCUGGGGUGCCCACUCCAUUCACAUCUAAUUUAGUGCUUCCCUUAACAUGACAAAAUGAUUUAAAAAUAAUAACAAAUUUUAUUGAGUGUCAUGUGUCAGGCUCUGAGUUAAAUAUUUACAUAUUCUUUCCUAAAUGUAGAAUUAAAAAACCAAGAGGUAAAGGAGUUGUCCCAAGCCAGAGAGCUAGGAAAUCCAGAGUCAGAGUCUAAAUCAACAUCACUCUGUCCCCAAGGCCGGAUGCUGACUGGCUUUCUUUGGAUGCCAGAGGGUGAAGAUUAUUUUAGAGCAAAAGUUCAGCAAGAAUAUGACCUCCCAGAGGAAAGAAAGAGCAGACGGGACCAUGAUAUCAUUGCAUCCAGGUUCAGGGAAAGGCAAGCCUGACAGCCCAGCUUUUGCUGUGAGCUCCCUAGCAGCCACAGCAAAAAGGGAGAGGCCUCAUAGACCUCGUCACCUGUAGGAGGGAACGAAGUGGUUUACAGAAGGACCUCUGCCCCAUUUCAGAGGGAAAAGUUACAUGCGGUGACGCGCCCCAGAAGAGAGAAGCCCUCCAGGGCAGAGGGUCUGCACUGUUGCCUCUGAGACUCAGGGACCUGUCCUCAGACCUGACGUAGAAGUUCUGCACGCCAAGCCUGAAAGCGCGAGUAACUUAUGCACUGGCAGCAAGUCUGAAGUUCACGUUCAGGGAAAGCACGACUGGUCCAGUGUGAAGCAAGGGCGCGACUGUCAGCUGGGUGGGGCCAUGCUGCCCAGGCAUUUGGUCACGUGUUGCUCUGGGUGUUCCUGCGAGGGCGUUUUUGGAUGAGGUUAGCGUUUACAGGGGUAGUUUUUACUGUUUUUGUUUGUUUGUUUGCUGGGGAUUAAACCCAGGACCUCAUGAGUGCAAAGCAUGUGCUCCACCGCUGAGCUACACCCUCGCCCCGCCCCCAAAUGGUGGAUUUUGAGCAAAGUGGACAGCUGGCCAUACCGUGGGUGGGCCUCACCUAAUCAGCUGCAAGUCCGAGCCCAACCGAAGGCCGACUCCCCCACCACCCUGAGCAGGAGGAAGUCCUGCAACAGGCGCGCUUCCCUCGGCCGCAUGGGCGCCAGCUAGCUUGCCAGCAGACUAUCUUCAGAUGCAGACUGCAGCUCUGCCCUGAGUCUCCUGGCCCGCCUCCCCCAUCAGAUGGCACUUACCAAGCCGCCACAGCAGGGUGAGUCAGUUCCUUAAGUAAGUGUCCUUCUGUGGACACACAUCUUGUUGGUUCUGUUGGGCCGGAGGAGCCGACUGGCCCUGGCUGUCAGCGGCAGGGACACUGCCCGCAGACCCCCACCCACAGCCUGCGGGUCCUGGCCCUCCCGAGCCCUUCUGCGUGAUGCGGUCCUAGACGGUGGAGGCGAGAAUUCUGCAAAGACCUCCAGCAACCAGCUCUGGAAAGACACCUCCCUGCAGGAAGGCUCUGUGUGAAACCUGAGCAGGUCUGCACACGCCUGGAACCACACUGGGGUCCGGGCCGAGCCGGACCUGUUGCUGUGUGCGUGGGCCUCCUUCUGUGAGAAGCAGGUCACUGAACCUGCCGGGGCGGGUGGGGUGGCGGCACGAGUAAGAGAUGGCGUCAAACAGUAGAAAGCCCAUGGCAGCUUGGCAUCAAAGGGCAGGCCCGGGCAGGGGC